rnacentral:rRNA from 1 species
GAUGAACGCUGGCGGCGUGCCUAAUACAUGCAAGUCGAGCGAAUGGAUUAAGAGCUUGCUCUUAUGAAGUUAGCGGCGGACGGGUGAGUAACACGUGGGUAACCUGCCCAUAAGACUGGGAUAACUCCGGUAAACCGGGGCUAAUACCGGAUAACAUUUUGAACCGCAUGGUUCGAAAUUGAAAGGCGGCUUCGGCUGUCACCUAUGGAUGGACCCGCGUCGCAUUAGCUAGUUGGUGAGGUAACGGCUCACCAAGGCAACGAUGCGUAGCCGACCUGAGAGGGUGAUCGGCCACACUGGGACUGAGACACGGCCCAGACUCCUACGGGAGACAGCAGUAGGGAAUCUUCCGCAAUGGACGAAAGUCUGACGGAGCAACGCCGCGUGAGUGAUGAAGGCUUUCGGGUCGUAAAACUCUGUUGUUAGGGAAGAACAAGUGCUAGUUGAAUAAGCUGGCACCUUGACGGUACCUAACCAGAAAGCCACGGCUAACUACGUGCCAGCCGCCGCCGUAA